ACCUCCCUAGCACCUGAGUCUGUCUUGCUGGGAUCUGGCUGUUGUAACUUGUCUUGGGUUUUGUACCUGUGAUGGUUUUAAUGGCCAUCAUCACUUUCUAGUCUGGUAGUGCUUGUGGAGGUCGGUCUCCAGCACCACCAUGGGAGGCUGGCCUCCUCUGCUGCCCUUUUGUCUUUCUAGAUCCGUGAUGGCAAUCGCUUGCUGUUGUAGCGCUACCCCUAAAUACACAAUUUGAUAGAAUGAAAGGGGCUUGUCUGUGUCAAGGAUAAGGAUCCUAUUUUCAUCUUUCAUUGUAGGGAGCCUGCUGUGAAAUGCUCCUUACCAUGAAGGCCGUGCAUUGUGGUCCCAGACAGUGGAGAUCUCAACUCCUCCCUUCAUGAACCGCUUGGUGAGCAGUAGAGAUGAGAUGUGCUGCAGAUGAGGGCAGAAAGGUGCCCCAGCACCACAGCCUCAAAACAGGAGGGCUGGCCGGGCUGCUUUCAUAAAGCAAAAGGUGGGUCUCAAGCGAGUGUAACUCCCAUUGUUCUUGAGCAAACUCACCUGACAAUGCCUGUGCCAUCUCACACCAAAGAGCUCAUCAUUUUGGGCGGCCUGCUCCUUCUUGGAGCCACCGCAGUAGGUGACCCACAGCAAAUUCUCCUGCUCAGGGGGAGGACGCUCCGAGGCAGCUGCACCAGGCCCACACGGUGUCACACAGGCUGGAUGGAGCCCAGGGACCUCCCUUUUACCCACCAACCCCUCUCCUUCAGCAGGAACCUUGUGCAGUACCAUGGCUCCAGCCGUCCUCACGCUAAGCCGUGAGGAGUGCUUGUGACUGAUAAUUAUUCAAGAUUAGAGGCUACAGCAAUCAGAGUGAUGCUGAGCUUACAAGAGCCUACUUCAGCUUGAAGUACAGUAACGUGCCUAGUGCUGGAGAGCAGAAACCAGCGUGAAGCGCCCAGCCUCGCUUCGCAACACAAGGAGCAAAUCCUGCUGCUAGAGCUGGCUACUGCGAUAAUCAGGCCAUCCAUCUGUUUUUUCAGUCUUGAAUUCAUUUCCUCAUCCUCUGGAGAGGGUAGGACGUGAUCAUCUUUGCCCAUGAGACCUCAGAAAGAAAAUGACCUCACGGAAAUGGAAGGGAUUCACUCACAAGACAGAAAUAGUGUGUUGCUAAGGUAGGACCAGAGCUCCCUCCAACCCAUCUGUUCUCCUCCAGCAAACAAAACUAAUAAAAACCCUCCUGGAGUUCCAGAUCCACUGCUCUCAUCCUCUACCUAUGGCUCUGAAGCUAAGUACAUAUCCUUAAGAGCUUCUGUGUGCAGGAGGGCCUGCCCUGCAGCCUGCUGGUGGAGUAGCUCAGAAGGCCAGGGUGUCACACUGCUUGUACUUCUCACAACAACCUCCUGCCAUGCUGCUGCUUUGUGGAGCAAGCUGGUUAAUGGAGUCAGGGGAGAGGAACCAGGCCGAAAGAGGUGGUCAGGAGAUCCAGGCAAUGAAGUGUUGUAUCAGCAAAGUCUUUCAAACAGGAGCCCUCGUGGAUGAGAAUGGAGGUGUGGAAGAACUGGAUGUAAAUGCCUUCAGCAGAUGUUGUGUGUGAGCAGAUUACUCGCUCUGAGAGGCAAGCACCUGGAAGAAACAGCCUUUCACGGUUCUCUGGACAAGUUCAAUUUUCCAGCCCUGUAAAUCCACCCUGUGAAUAAAAAUGAGGCAGAAAUCCUGGGAGGUCAUGAGUUUCGUGGUAGAGGUGGCCAAGGAAAAGCAAUGCUUACACAAAGCAGGGACAGCCCAGUCUCACCUCCCUGCCGCUCCCACCAUGUGCUGUGACAUGGGAUCCCAGGUUGAUAGGUUUCAUCUUUUCUUCUUUUCUUUAUUUUAACACUGCCCUUCCUUCAGAGGAUCACAAAUGUGGAAGAAGAAGGUUUUCUAGUGCUCAGGACAAAACUUGAAAAAUAACAGUUGCAUUGCUGACCACAAGGGCUUCCUGUGUAAUGGAAACCUCCACUCCAGAAACCCAUUGGACACCUUCUUUGCAAUAAAAGAACAACCCCACCCAUCACCAGAGCCAUGGUGCACCUAGGUGAUGGAGCUGUGAUAUAGAAAGAGGGAUGCAUGCAUGUCUUGAAAAUAGUUUCAGGAAGCUUCUCUCUGCUGGGCUCCCCACGCCUCAUAAGAAGGGAAAUGUGUGUGCCUUUUUUUUUCCCCUCUAAGAUGUGAGCUGUAUGACAGCUGUGGCUGCUGUUUUGUGAACAGGCUGCAGGCAUGCCACCUGAGAACAGCUGGAGGUGCUCUGCAGACCAAAGAUCCCAAGUCAGUUGCUUGUCCUGCUUUAUAAAAUAAUUUAAUACGAAGUAAUUCAGGCAGGGACUCAAGUGCUUUGCUGAAUUGGGGCUUCAGGGCAAAACAUGCUGGAUUUUUUUCUUCUGAUAAAAUCCUUCUUAUCUUAAGCAGGUGUUUAUCAGAGGUUGGGCAAAACCGCUGACAUUUUGCUUGGAAGUCUUUCACAAAGAUCUCAUUAGUGAUAACCUGGACACCAGCAUGCGGGCAUUUGGGAAAAAAAAAAAAAAGAGCAUAAACCAGCGCUGUGUUGGGAUUAAAAGAAACUUGAGAAGUAUGAGAAAUGUGGUUGUUCCCAUCUUUACACCACUAAGAUACAAUGCUGGCUCUACAGAAUUUAAAAGCAAUGUUUUGCUUUUGAAAGUCCACUGGGGACCCCUAAUGUUUGCCUGCUGCAGAAGCACACGCCUCUGAGCUGAAGCUGCAGGAGCCUCUUUGGGUAUCCCUGGGUUUGGUUGUUUUGGUCGUUCAAAGGUAAGAGCCCCAGAAUGCUUUGGGGUGCAGAAAUCUUCGUGCUGCCCAUGUAAUGUAUGGGAGUCCCUUGUGCCCUGAGCCAUGACAGCAGAAACGUAUAACAUGUCCAGCAGAAAAGUCAGCAGAAGGAAAAUAGUGCUUGCUUUGCUCCAUGGCAAGACAUCAUCCAUUCAAGCGAGCAAUCAUUAAAGGGAAAAAUACAUUCAUAAAGUGGGUGGUAUGGCAACAGGACUUAUGGUCCUUGUCAAAGGCAGUGGGAGGAAUAACCCUAUCAGUGGUUUUUUUUUUCUUAAGGCCACUCCACAGCCCCAAGAUCAGCUUUAUUCUGAGCUCUCUGAGUCCCACCCCAUCCAAAAAUGCUGCUGUCAUCUUUCCCAGACCAGAAGCAUCGUUAUCUCCCACCCUCAAUGUUACAGAGGAACCAAACCUAUCUGAAGCUUUACACAGAACAACACUAUGCUUGCAACGGGAAUAAAUUGCCCUUCUCUCUUUCAAGCCUCCAGCCCCAAAGCCAAGUAAAUCAGCAAAACCUGGACUUUAAGUGGCUUCUAACGUACUGAAAGUCAAUUAGAGUGAUUAAAAUGGAGCUGCUAACCACAGGUCUUCAUCACCGAUGCCGUGCUGAACAUCUAUUCUGUGUGGUUUGCAAGUAAAAGUGCAUGGAGAGGAAAGGAUUUUUUUUAAAGCAGCCAAAUUGCCUCUAAUUAGCAACACAACUGUAGUCAAAACAUAAUGUGAGGAUAAUAAAUUGAUAUUUGCAUAAUGGAGACACUACCAAAAUGUACUUCAAAUAAGCUGAAUUGGAUUAUAAUUAGAGCUGUGUUUUGGGAAAGAAAAUCCUCCUAAUUGCCUCCGUACCGACAGCAUCAAGGAGGAGAGGGCUGCAGGCAUAGGGCAUGGCCCCGAAACAGCACGGCAGGGCUGGGGGCCUGCGGGAGUGGCUCCAAAAGGCAAGGCAGGCUGCCUCUUUUCCUUUUUUCCUUUUUUUUUCCGAUGUUGGGAAACACUCCCAAAGCAGCUGCUGAUGCUGGGAAAACCCCACGAAGCUCCUGGCUUAUUUUCUACAGCCAAAACAGCACAGCUGAGCUGCUGGGUGCAAGGCAUCGCAUGCCUCAGCAAAUGAGGAUGAGUUUAGGAGCCUGUGACUGGGCUGGUAGCAGCGGCAAAACAUCCUCCUCCUUCAACACUGUGGUUCGUGUGGUUGUGCUGAAAGAAAACCUGGGGGAAAUCGUGUGGGAAAACAAGCUGGGUGGGAGAAACGUGUGUCUCUGGGGAGGCAGUGCAGGGAUAACAGUGCAAGUGCUAUUUCUGUGCCUCGCAUGAAGCCUGUGGACGAGGGGAAGCAUUGGUGCUGCACCAAGUUGCCAUAGCCUUCUACCAGCUUUAGUCAAUCAGCAGUUACUCGUUUCUGUUGAUAUGUAUGCAAGUUGGCUCUUAUUUCCCAACCAUUACCAAAUUAAAUAAAUAAAAAAAAAACCGGCUAGCUGGAAAGCACUGGGUGACAGGAUGAUAAGCCACCAGCUGGUUGUAUGGGGCCAUGGGUACCAGCAAGGCAGAGAUCGUGCACCUACACGGAAGUCCCCGGGGAGCAGUGUUAUCGCCAGUAAAACACCCUGGGGCUCUGCGUAGUGAGCGAGCUUUCCAUCAAAUGCAAUUGCUCCCGCUGUGGUUCGAAUGAAGGCAGUUUCCAUUAAAUUUAAUUACGUUCCCCCC